rnacentral:rRNA from 1 species
UACGGAGGGUGCGAGCGUUGUCCGGAAUCAUUGGGCGUAAAGGGCGCGUAGGUGGCCCGGUCAGUUCGUGGUGAAAGCGCGGGGCUCAACCCUGCGUCGGCCAUGAAUACUGCCGCGGCUGGAGCACUGUAGAGGCAGGCGGAAUUCCCAGUGUAGAGGUGAAAUUCGUAGAUAUUGGGAAGAACACCGGUGGCGAAGGCGGCGACCUGGUCCGUGACUGACGCUGAGGCGCGAAAGCGUGGGGAGCAAACAGG